rnacentral:tRNA from 1 species
GUCCCCUUCGUCUAGUGGCCUAGGACACCGCCCUUUCACGGCGGUAACAGGGGUUCGAGUCCUCAGGGGACGCCA